CCAUUAUUAUCACCAUCAUCUCUCUGAUGAGAUCCAAAGUCCAGAGUCCCUCAAGUCAAUGGAACCUUCCAUCAGAUCCCAAGAAGAAUGCAGAUUUGACUAUGGACUUUGAAACCACGCAUCAAUUUUCCUCAAAGCCUUCAAGAAAUUAAUUUGGGUGGCCCGUAACAUGACAUGGAUUUUAUGCUUCUGCUAUUGGAAUAGGAUUAAACGUUCUGAUAUGCCAUCAAUGAGAAGCCAUGGUUAGUUCUCCAAUGAACAUGAUAUCCGAUCCUUAGAAAUAGUGCUUGAUGUGAAAUGGGUAGGCAUGAUCUGAAUUUGCUGAGUGAGAUGCUGGAAAUCUGCAUUGGAUUGGAGAUAACCAUCUUUCACGAUGCUUGUUUUUUCAAAGUUGUUUGGCGUAUAAAAUGGAAGUAAAUGGAAUCCUUACAAGUAGAGGUGAUCAUUUUUUUAGAAAGUAGAGACCUGUGUGCUGAUUGACAACGGACUUGGUGGCUAAUGGCUUUUAUUCAGCUAGCUCUGAAGUGGCUGGGGGGGG